AUUGAACGCUGGCGGCAGGCCUAACACAUGCAAGUCGAGCGGAGCGGCGGACGGGUGAGUAAUGCUUAGGAAUCUGCCUCGUCGUGGGGGAUGACGUCCGCAAAUGGGCGCUAAUACCGCAUACUAUCAGAUGAGCCUAGGUCGGAUUAGCUAGUUGGUGGGGUAAAGGCCUACCAAGGCGACGAUCCGUAACUGGUCUGAGAGGAUGAUCAUGCACACUGGAACUGAGACACGGUCCAGACUCCUACGGGAGGCAGCAGUGGGGAAUAUUGGACAAUGGGCGAAAGCCUGAUCCAGCCAUGCCGCGUGUGUGAAGAAGGUCUUCGAUUUGUAAAGCACUUUAAGUUGGGAGGCGUUACCAACAGAAUAAGCACCGGCUAACUUCGUGCCAGCAGCCGCGGUAAUAC
rnacentral:rRNA from 1 species